GGCGGAUGUAGCCAAGUGGAUCAAGGCAGUGGAUUGUGAAUCCACCCAUGCGC
rnacentral:tRNA from 1 species